CCCAGACUCCUACGGGAGGCAGCAGUGAGGAAUAUUGGUCAAUGGGCUAAGGCCUGAACCAGCCAAGUCGCGUGAGGGAAGACGGUCCUAUGGAUUGUAAACCUCUUUUGUCGGGGAGCAACGAGGCCACGUGUGGCCGAAGUGAGAGUACCCGAAGAAAAAGCAUCGGCUAACUCCGUGCCAGCAGCCGCGGUAAUACGUAGGUGGCGAGCGUUAUCCGGAAUUACUGGGUGUAAAGGGAGCGUAGGCGGGGGAACAAGUUGAAUGUUUAAGAUAUGGGCUCAACUCAUAUAAGCGUUCAAAACUGUUUUUCUUGAGUGAAGUAGAGGUAAGCGGAAUUCCUAGUGUAGCGGUGGGAUGCGUAAAUAUUAGGAGGAACACCAGUGGCGAAGGCGGCUUACUGGGCUUUAACUGACGCUGAGGCUCGAAAGCGUGGGUAGCAAACAGGAUUAGAUACCCGUGUA
rnacentral:rRNA from 1 species